UACGUAGGGUGCGAGCGUUAAUCGGAAUUACUGGGCGUAAAGCGUGCGCAGGCGGUUUUGUAAGCCAGAUGUGAAAUCCCCGGGCUUAACCUUGGAAUGGCAUUUGGGACUGCAAGGCUAGAGUGCGGCAGAGGGGACUGGAAUUCCUGGUGUAGCAGUGAAAUGCAUAGAUAUCAGGAGGAAUACCGAAGGCGAAGGCAGGUCCCUGGGUUGACACUGACGCUCAUGCGCGAAAGCGUGGGGAGCAAACAGG
rnacentral:rRNA from 1 species